AUUGAACGCUGGCGGCAUGCCUUACACAUGCAAGUCGAACGGCAGCACGGGUGCUUGCACCUGGUGGCGAGUGGCGAACGGGUGAGUAAUACAUCGGCACAUGUCCUGUAGUGGGGGAUAGCCCGGCGAAAGCCGGAUUAAUACCGCAUACGAUCUACGGAUGAAAGCGGGGGCCCUUCGGGCCUCGCGCUAUAGGGUUGGCCGAUGGCUGAUUAGCUAGUUGGUGGGGUAAAGGCCUACCAAGGCGACGAUCAGUAGCUGGUCUGAGAGGACGACCAGCCACACUGGGACUGAGACACGGCCCAGACUCCUACGGGAGGCAGCAGUGGGGAAUUUUGGACAAUGGGCGAAAGCCUGAUCCAGCAAUGCCGCGUGUGUGAAGAAGGCCUUCGGGUUGUAAAGCACUUUUGUCCGGAAAGAAAUCCUUGGCUCUAAUACAGUCGGGGGAUGACGGUACCGGAAGAAUAAGCACCGGCUAACUACGUG
rnacentral:rRNA from 1 species